rnacentral:rRNA from 1 species
UACGUAGGGCGCAAGCGUUGUCCGGAAUUAUUGGGCGUAAAGAGCUCGUAGGCGGCGUGUCGCGUCGGUUGUGAAAGCCCGGGGCUUAACUUCGGGUCUGCAGUCGAUACGGGCAUGCUUGAGUUCGGUAGGGGAGAUCGGAAUUCCUGGUGUAGCGGUGAAAUGCGCAGAUAUCAGGAGGAACACCGGUGGCGAAGGCGGAUCUCUGGGCCGAUACUGACGCUGAGGCACGAAAGCGUGGGGAUCAAGCAGG